UACGAAGGGGGCUAGCGUUGCUCGGAAUCACUGGGCGUAAAGGGUGCGUAGGCGGGUCUUUAAGUCAGGGGUGAAAUCCUGGAGCUCAACUCCAGAACUGCCUUUGAUACUGAAGAUCUUGAGUUCGGGAGAGGUGAGUGGAACUGCGAGUGUAGAGGUGAAAUUCGUAGAUAUUCGCAAGAACACCAGUGGCGGAAGGCGGCUCACUGGCCCGAUACUGACGCUGAGGCA
rnacentral:rRNA from 1 species